rnacentral:rRNA from 1 species
GAUUGGCCCGCGUUGGAUUAGCUAGUUGGUGGGGUAAAGGCCUACCAAGGCGACGAUCCAUAGCUGGUCUGAGAGGAUGAUCAGCCACAUUGGGACUGAGACACGGCCCAAACUCCUACGGGAGGCAGCAGUGGGGAAUAUUGGACAAUGGGCGCAAGCCUGAUCCAGCCAUGCCGCGUGAGUGAUGAAGGCCUUAGGGUUGUAAAGCUCUUUCACCGAUGAAGAUAAUGACGGUAGUCGGAGAAGAAGCCCCGGCUAACUUCGUGCCAGCAGCCGCGGUAAUACGAAGGGGGCUAGCGUUGUACGGAAUUACUGGGCGUAAAGCGCACGUAGGCGGAUAUUUAAGUCAGGGGUGAAAUCCCAGAGCUCAACUCUGGAACUGCCUUUGAUACUGGGUAUCUUGAGUAUGGAAGAGGUAAGUGGAAUUGCGAGUGUAGAGGUGAAAUUCGUAGAUAUUCGCAGGAACACCAGUGGCGAAGGCGGCUUACUGGUCCAUUACUGACGCUGAGGUGCGAAAGCGUGGGGAGCAAACAGGAUUAGAAACCCUGGUAGUCCACGCC